CUGGCCAUCUUCUGUCGUCAUCCAAAGAUCUGUCUUUCCUUCUAGACCGUCAACUGCGACAGGCUGUGGCUCCCAAGCACCUGUGAGGCCCCGCCCACUAACACAACUCCAGGCAGACGGCACAGAAUGUUAGACAACGAAGGACCAUGAGCCCAGGAAGAUGGGAAGCGAACAAGGGAGCCCUAGAAUCGCUAGGCUACGACAUAUAGAAGAGAACUGAAGUGGAGGGUGAUGUACCCCCCUGGUCAAGGAGAGCCCAAGGGGACCAAGGAAGGACAGGAUGCCGGACAGGGAAGAGCUACAUCAAGAGAACAUCCACCAAGGGGCACACGUGUGUGAGAAAAGUCCCCGAGGCUGGGGAACGAACGAUGUGAAACGAUUAGAGGGAAAUCAUGCUUAUAGACUGGAAAAACUCAUAAUUCAUGGGGCAUUGAGUAGAGUACGCAGGAAGGUCUGUGCAGUGAUACAUUUCGUUUUGUUUUAAAUAAAUCGAUAGCUGUUUAUGGUAACAAUUCAAGCGGUACAGAAGAGUUUAAGUGAAUGGCACACCGAAACAAACACGCUCCUAUGUAUGUCCGAGGAUAUUGGUCAUAGCUCCGUUUACAGUAGUGGAAAACAAGGAAAGCAAAUCCAUGCCCAUCAACGCUUAAUGGCAUAGAAAUCUGGCAUCUCCACAUCGCUGAAUAUUAGCCAUUGAAAAGGAAGAAGUAGGUCUAUACCAGCUGACUUGGAUUCCUUAAAGUAUUAAGUAGGAAAGACGUGUUGCUGAGAAAUAUAUACAAUGUGAUCCCGUUUUUGUAAAACAAAUAAAAACGUCCUGAAUGUGUA